GAGGAAACACAACCUAUUGAGCAGCAACUAAAGGCACUAAAGAAUAGAGGUUGUCACAAUGAAGAGGCAUGAACCGUAAAUAAUGGUUAUAAAAGGCCCUAUCAGACCUCCAAAAUCCAGCUGACAUUAUUUCCGACAUAGAAGAGGAAUUAAAAAUGUUCCAAGAAGAGACUAAAGCUCUUAUUUCAUGUGCUUUAACUUGAUGUUUAACUAAAUCUUCAGAAGAAGCAGACUUAUAAGCCAAAAUGACAGUAUUGCAAAUCCAGAUAGAAAAUCCUUUUUUAAUAGGAAUGAACAACCUAGAAGAACCAGCAGAUCUUAAUUUAGCUGAAGAAGCUAGGUAAACAAGCAAGGCUCUCACUGGACACAAAACCUGAUUAUCCGCCGUGGGAGGUAACGCAGGAAUAGUAAUGAAACCAGAACCUUUAUCAGGUAACUGGUUCUUUGCUAAAAAGAUGGAUCAGUGAGAAGAGUAACUGAAGACUUAUCAGCCGCAAAGCGGAGACAAGACUCAGAAAUUCCCAAGGCAUGAAUCUCACUCCUUCUACGACCAGUACCCAAAGCUAUAAGAAAACAACAUUUAUAAG
rnacentral:lncRNA from 1 species